GCCAGGUGUGGUGGCACACGCCUGUAAUCCCAGUGACUCAGGAGACUGAUGCAGGAGGAUCACAAGUUCAAGAACAGUUGUGACAAUUUAGUGAGGCCCUAAGCAACCUAGUGAGACCCUGUCUCAA
rnacentral:sRNA from 1 species